rnacentral:snRNA from 1 species
CCCUCCAAAAAUAGGCGUA